AUGGCUGUCGUCAGCUCGUGUCGUGAGAUGUUGGGUUAAGUCCCGCAACGAGCGCAACCCUUGUUCCAUGUUGCCAGCGGUUCGGCCGGGGACUCAUGGGAGACUGCCGGGGUCAACUCGGAGGAAGGUGGGGAUGACGUCAAGUCAUCAUGCCCCUUAUGUCUUGGGCUGCAAACAUGCUACAAUGGCCGGUACAGCGGGGUGCGAUACUGUGAGGUGGAGCGAAUCCCGAAAAGCCGGUCUCAGUUCGGAUCGGGGUCUGCAACUCGACCCCGUGAAGUCGGAGUCGCUAGUAAUCGCAGAUCAGCAACGCUGCGGUGAAUACGUUCCCGGGCCUUGUACACACCGCCCGU
rnacentral:rRNA from 1 species